rnacentral:rRNA from 1 species
AUAGGGGAGCCGUAGGGAAACCGAGUCUUAACUGGGCGAAUAAGUUGCAGGGUAUAGACCCGAAACCCGGUGAUCUAGCCAUGGGCAGGUUGAAGGUUGGGUAACACUAACUGGAGGACCGAACCGACUAAUGUUGAAAAAUUAGCGGAUGACUUGUGGCUGGGGGUGAAAGGCCAAUCAAACCGGGAGAUAGCUGGUUCUCCCCGAAAGCUAUUUAGGUAGCGCCUCGUGAACUCAUCUUCGGGGGUAGAGCACUGUUUCGACUAGGGGGUCAUCCCGACUUACCAACUCGAUGCAAACUACGAAUACCGAAGAAUGUUAUCACGGGAGACACACGGCGGGUGCUAACGUUCGUCGUGAAGAGGGAAACAACCCAGACCGCCAGCUAAGGUCCCAAAGUCAUAGUUAAGUGGGAAACGAAGUGGGAAGGCUCAGACAGCCAGGAUGUUGGCUUAGAAGCAGCCAUCAUUUAAAGAAAGCGUAAUAGCUCACUGGUCGAGUCGGCCUGCGCGGAAGAUGUAACGGGGCUAAACUAUGCACCGAAGCUGCGGCAGCGAUAUGUAAAUAUUGUUGGGUAGGGGAGCGUUCUGUAAGCCUGUGAAGGUGUGCUGUGAGGCAUGCUGGAGGUAUCAGAAGUGCGAAUGCUGACAUAAGUAACGAUAAUGCGGGUGAAAAACCCGCACGCCGGAAGACCAAGGGUUCCUGUCCAACGUUAAUCGGGGCAGGGUGAGUCGACCCCUAAGGCGAGGCAGAAAUGCGUAGUCGAUGGGAAACGGGUUAAUAUUCCCGUACUGGUGAUAAUUGCGAUGGGGGGACGGAGAAGGCUAGGCUAUCCGGGCGACGGUUGUCCCGGUUUAAGGAUGUAGGCAGGUGAAUUAGGCAAAUCCGGUUCACUACAUGCUGAGGUCCGAUGACGAGUCACUACGGUGAUGAAGUAGCUCAUGCCCCGCUUCCAGGAAAAGCCUCUAAGCUCUAGAUUAUCAUUAAUCGUACCCCAAACCGACACAGGUGGUCAGGUAGAGAAUACUCAGGCGCUUGAGAGAACUCGGGUGAAGGAACUAGGCAAAAUGGUGCCGUAACUUCGGGAGAAGGCACGCUGGCAUUAGGUGAAGUGAUUUACUCAUGGAGCUGAAGCCAGUCGCAGAUACCAGCUGGCUGCAACUGUUUAUUAAAAACACAGCACUGUGCAAACACGAAAGUGGACGUAUACGGUGUGACGCCUGCCCGGUGCUGGAAGGUUAAUUGAUGGGGUUAUCCGUAAGGAGAAGCUCUUGAUCGAAGCCCCAGUAAACGGCGGCCGUAACUAUAACGGUCCUAAGGUAGCGAAAUUCCUUGUCGGGUAAGUUCCGACCUGCACGAAUGGCGUAAUGAUGGCCAGGCUGUCUCCACCCGAGACUCAGUGAAAUUGAACUCGCUGUGAAGAUGCAGUGUACCCGCGGCAAGACGGAAAGACCCCGUGAACCUUUACUAUAGCUUGACACUGAACAUUGAGCCUUGAUGUGUAGGAUAGGUGGGAGGCUU